rnacentral:rRNA from 1 species
UACGGGGGGGGCAAGCGUUGUUCGGAAUUACUGGGCGUAAAGGGCUCGUAGGCGGCCAACUAAGUCGGAUGUGAAAUCCCCAGGCUUAACCUGGGAACUGCAUCCGAUACUGGAUGGCUUGAAUUCGGGAGAGGGAUGCAGAAUUCCAGGUGUAGCGGUGAAAUGCGUAGAUAUUGGGAGGAACACCAGUGGCGAAGGCGGCUCUCUGGACCGGUACUGACGCUGAGACGCGAAAGCCAGGGGAGCAAACGGG